rnacentral:tRNA from 1 species
GCGGGUAUGGCGGAAUUGGAAGACGUGCGGGAUUUAGGUUCCCGCGCCGUAAGGCGUGUGAGUUCGAUCCUCACUACCCGUACCA